AUGCUCGCCGGGCUAGGGGCUAGAGUAGUGCUUACAUCGCCAACAUGCGACAACGUUCGGUACGUGUUGCAAAUCAUGUACAUGGACUCAAAUAAUGCUACCGAAUACGAGGCCCUCCUGCAUGGGCUUCGGAUAGUAAUUUUGAUGCGUGACAAAUGCCUUGAGGUCCGAGGUGACUCUAACCUUGCCAUAUCCCAAGUGAACAGUGAAUUCAACGUCAAAGAUCCGAAGAUGACAACACAUCGGAACGCAGUCUUUAAAAUCUCGGCCAGGUUCGAAGGGCUGGAAUUUCAUCACAUCCCACGUGAUAGCCACCAAGCCACCGAUAUACUUGCCCGAAUGGGUGCGAAAAGGGACAAGGUUCCCGAUAACACCUUCCUUGAAUAG
rnacentral:rRNA from 1 species